UAGGGAAUUUUCGUCAAUGGGGGAAACCCUGAACGAGCAAUGCCGCGUGAGUGAAGAAGGUCUUCGGAUCGUAAAGCUCUGUUGUAAGUGAAGAACGGCUCAUAGAGGAAAUGCUAUGGGAGUGACGGUAGCUUACCAGAAAGCCACGGCUAACUACGUGCCAGCAGCCGCGGUAAUACGUAGGUGGCAAGCGUUAUCCGGAAUCAUUGGGCGUAAAGGGUGCGUAGGUGGCGUACUAAGUCUGUAGUAAAAGGGCAAUGGCUCAACCAUUGUAAGCUAUGGAAACUGGUAUGCUGGAGUGCAGAAGAGGGCGAUGGAAUUCCAUGUGUAGCGGUAAAAUGCGUAGAUAUAUGGAGGAACACCAGUGGCGAAGGCGGUCGCCUGGUCUGUAACUGACACUGAGGCACGAAAGCGUGGGGAGCAAAUAGGAUUAGAUACC
rnacentral:rRNA from 1 species